rnacentral:lncRNA from 1 species
GAAAGGGGGAUUUCCACGGUUUGCUAUCCUGUAAGUGAAAGGCGCCAAGGAUAGCUGGUCUCUGUUCACAGGUUCAUACAUACAAAUCAUGGUAACUCAAGGGAAUGAAAGACUUUAGAAUUCAUCUAAUCCACCUAUUUGUGCAAUGUUUGUAUCACAGGACAACAUUCAUACCACUUCCAUGCUUGGGUGCCUCCAAAAAACUGGUACACUGAAAAACAGCAUAAUCUACAAUGCUAAUAUAUCACCAGGUUACUAAUAUGACACGAAAGCAAAGAGAUGAC